rnacentral:rRNA from 1 species
AACGAACGCUGGCGGCAGGCUUAACACAUGCAAGUCGAACGCAUCCUUCGGGGUGAGUGGCAGACGGGUGAGUAACGCGUGGGAACGUGCCCUUCAGUUCGGGAUAACCCAGGGCAACUUGGGCUAAUACCGGAUACGUGCGAGAGCAGAAACAUUUAUCGCUGAAGGAUCGGCCCGCGUCUGAUGAGCUAGUUGGUGGGGUAAUGGCCCACCAAGGCGACGAUCCGUAGCUGGUCUGAGAGGAUGAUCAGCAACAUUGGGACUGCGACACGGCCCAAACUCCUACGGGAGGCAGCAGUGGGGAAUAUUGGACAAUGGGCGCAAGCCUGAGCCAGCCAUGCCGCGUGAGUGAUGAAGGCCUUAGGGUUGUAAAGCUCUUUCGUCCGGGACGAUAAUGACGGUACCGGAAGAAGAAGCCCCGGCUAACUUCGUGCCAGCCGCCGCAGUAA